rnacentral:rRNA from 1 species
UGGGGAAUCUUGGACAAUGGGCGCAAGCCUGAUCCAGCCAUGCCGCGUGAGUGAAGAAGGCCUUAGGGUUGUAAAACUCUUUCGCCGGAGAAGAUAAUGACGGUAUCCGGAGAAGAAGCCCCGGCUAACUUCGUGCCAGCAGCCGCGGUAAUACGAAGGGGGCUAGCGUUGUUCGGAAUUACUGGGCGUAAAGCGCACGUAGGCGGGUUUGUAAGUAGGGGGUGAAAUCCCAGGGCUCAACCCUGGAACUGCCUUCUAAACUGCAAGCCUGGAGGUCAGGAGAGGCGAGUGGAAUACCGAGUGUAGAGGUGAAAUUCGUAGAUAUUCGGUGGAACACCAGUGGCGAAGGCGACUCGCUGGACUGAUACUGACGCUGAGGUGCGAAAGCGUGGGGAGCAAACAGGAUUAGAUACCCACGUAGUCCCUGAGCGGGCUGGCAAGGCGCAU